GGAACCAACCAGUCUUUGGUUUUGGAAAGCCUGCAUUUGAGGGGCUGCAAAACUGGAUUCUGUGAGAGGGAAGGAACACAGGUUGAUGGAAAGGCAAAGCCCAUCCUCUUGAGGUCUGGCUGGACCAGUCAGGGCAAGGUCUGUGAUGCCAGACACCCGGAUCUGGGAGGUGGCAACUCCCCUCCAGAACCACCACCCCUUCCUACCCGCGGGGACCAGCACUGUCUGAGCACGGAGUGGCUGCCCCUGUAGACGGACCUCACAGACCACAUCAGUGCUCCUCAGCUGUGCAGAGCCUGCCAUCCAAGAUCAACCCAAAGAAGGAGGAGUCCCAGAACCACUGGCAACUAGUCUUGGCCCACUGCCAUCAUCUCAGGAGGUUGAAAUUGGCCAGCGUGGGAAUGUAUACACCACAGAGAUCAGAAAAUACUAAAAACAAAGGCUUUGUUUUCCCUGGAGACCUAGUGGAGUUUCAUCAUUCAAAUGUGAAACCCUGGGG
rnacentral:lncRNA from 1 species